ACAGGAACUCGUACAUAUCAGAAAAAAAAAACUUCCACAAGGAAAAAAGAAAUAGUCUAAGUAGGAAUUCUGUGGUCCCAAGGAAACAGACGAUUGUAAACUUGUCACGGCAUUCGCAAUAUAUAGGAUGCAUGGCAUUCUAAACAAAGAAAGAUGUCGAGGAAAGAGACAGAGCCAGCGGUAAAUGUUGUCCAAGAUGGCUCCCAGUCGUCCUCGUGUGUGAGACGCACAUGCGAAUCUGACUCCUGUUGGUCUUGGUUGGUCUGUGGUGUGUGUGCUUUGUGUAACAUUAUCAUCUGUGGUCUAACGUACAGCUAUGGAAUUCUGUUUCCCUCGCUGCUGGACGAAUUUAAACAAGGAAAGGCGACCACAGCACUGGUUGGAUCACUAGCCAUGGUUGGAACAGGUGUGUACAGUAUGCUGGUGGCUAAAGUGUACAACCGCAUCGGGCCCCUUAAAACUGUCAUCACAGGGACCCUAAUCAGUAUUGCAGCCCUCCUGGUGACGUCACGGGGUACAGGCAUCUAUUUCAUCAUGGUCAGCUAUGGUAUCAUUUUCGGAAUUGGGUCGUGUUUCGUGUUUCUUCCUUUGUACUUGACGAUGCCUAAGUACUUUAUAAAACGGCGCUCGUUAGCACUGGGGCUUGUUGCCAUGGGGCCAGGAGGAGGCUUGUUCGUGAUGAGCCCAAUAAUGCAGGCUUUUGUAGAUACACUUGAUUGGCGCGGGACAUUUAUGGCCAUGGCUGGGAUUGUGGCCUUAAUAGGGCCCCUUAGUUGUGUCUUUAUCAGGAUACCUGAUGAUAAGACAGAUCAACGCGACGCUCCGGGGGAGGAUUAUAGAGAAAAGCUCUCUUACUUGUGGUUCAUUAGAAAUAGACGUUUUGUUAUUUUCACUGUUGCUACAUGUUUGUCGUACGCCGGGCAUUACAUUCCAUCCUUCCAUAUGGUUCGGUAUUGCGAGACACUAGGGAUAUCUACAAAUCAAUCCUCUAAACUCUACAUCUACAGCGGAGUUACGUCAUUGCUAGUGCGUCCUGUGAUCGGCCGUCUGUGUGACUUCGAAAAGAUUCAAGCGCACUCUCUUUUCCAGAUCGCUGCGGUUGCGGAGGGAAUUGCUACCUUACUUCUGCCGCUCGCUAAACGAUAUACUUAUUUUGUGCUUUAUUUCCUGUUGUAUGGAUGUACGGACGGAGCCAUGUUCAGCGCCAUGUGUGUUGCAUGCAUGUUUUGUUUUAAAGGAACUCAGCGUAAUCGUGGGUUUGGUUUCUACCAGAGUAUUACAAAUAUCGUAUCUGCAUUUGGUCCAGCUCUCGGAGGGCUUGUCGCGGACAGUUUCGGAGGGUACCCUCCAGCGUUUUACAUGUCAGGAGCCUUGGUAGCUCUCAGUGGAGUUAUAGUUCUUCUCGUUCUAUUUGUAAAACAAGAUCACCAAGAUCCUGCAGAAGCUGCCAUAAGAGGAGCACUAUUGGUGGUCGAAAAAUGUACUGUUGUUUGACGUCCACAGCGAAAGAUUUCUUGUCAUAAGCUUAAAGUCCAGUCCCGUUCAAUUUCGUCAAGAACGUUUCUUCAAACUGUUUGUUUAAUUCUUCACUGAAGAUGUUUUUCCAGUCUCCAAUCUGACCCUUGCGAAGGAAGUUUGGUUUUGUAGUAAAUGCCGAUAAGACAUAAGAGUUGGAGUUUUUCUUCAUUUCCGCAAACGUACACUGGUGGGCGAUUUUACGGAUCAUUUCAUCUGAAAGUGGCUUCUCGAGAAAUUCGCUGAUUAGUCGAACGUUACCACAAAGAUCCUGAAAGAAAUUUUCCCUAUUUACAAAUAAAUCAGCACUCAAAAGACUGCACUGUGAAAGAAAUCGGUGACAAAGAGGAGCAAAGUGGCCAAUCGAAAGGAUCGAUCUAUAGCCUUACCUGAUUUUGGAAAACUGACCACAAAAAUAUCGUCUGAACGGGUUUCAAAACGAGUCAAGUCCCUCUCAAUAUCCUUAUCAAUGCUGGGCGCGUUGAUUGAUAAUCGUACGCCAUGAAUCAGCGUUUGUCGUGGUCCAAAGAACUCUCCUUCCUUUUCUUGGAUGACUGUGAAAUGUUCCGACAUCAUUGUGAUUGUGAAAUGUUCCGACAUCACAGGCGACGAGCAGGGAAAAAAAAAUAUCGCAACACGAGUAGACAGCGGUGGAACAGUAACUCAUAAAGAGACAUCUGAAGUUUACAUCAUUGGGUUCGUAAAGGACAGUUUCGGAUGGUACCCUCCAGCAUUUUACAUGUCAGGAGCCUUCUUAACUCUUAGUGGAUCGAGUUGUAGUUUUUCUCGUUCUGUUUGUAAAACAAGAUCAUCAAGAUCCUGGAAAAGUUGC